rnacentral:lncRNA from 1 species
UAGAGUAUGUAUGGAUCGUAAGCGCUAACCAACUAUUUCAAAAACACGUGCUAAUAGAAAAUGCGCAUCCAUCGCAUUUAAAGAUUCAGCCAUAGCGCUCCCGUGCUUCAAUUUGACUCGAUUCACCUGAACGUUGGAUCGAUUGUCGGGCCUCUUACCGUUAGAUCUCUUGUAGACUGCACCUCCACUCAACUUAUUCUCACUCAACUCAACUUAUUAAUCUCCCGAACUUAUUAUCACGGGGCAGAAUAAGUGAUAUGGCAUGCAU